GUGUGAUGUGGCCUGUGCUCUGAAACUGUUGCACAGUUUUGUAUAAUAUUGGUUUGCAGAGGGCUUAUGAAAGCUACAA